UCAGGACAUAUUUAUUAUGUCCAAGAUGGAUGUCAUACACUGGCAGAUAACUUCAACAUCAUGGCCAAGGACACCGACAUCCGGAAGCACAGCUAGCCCUACACGAUGUUUGUCCAUGUGACGCCUGUCAACAAUGAGGCCCCAGUCAUAACAGCAAACGGGAUAUUAAGGUGUGGGUGAACUCAGUCACAGAGAUCUGCGUAGAUGACCUGAGUGUUGAGGACAGUGACUCUCCUCCUGAGGACCUAGAGUUCAUCGUAACCCCGCCUAGCAACAUACACCGGGCACUGAAGAGCUCCCCCUCCAGGCACAUCCUGAACUUCACCCAGAAACUCAUCCUUUGGGGACAGCUGGUGUUUGCGCACAGUGGGUCCCCUGUCAGGAGGAUUCCACUUCCAGGUCAAUGAUGGGGUGAACUUUACCCACGUCAGAUCUUCAGUGGUUCUCAGCCUGGAGAGUAACCACGCCCUCACGGUGUUCCCAGCAGAAUGAACUUCUGGUGGUUACCAAUAACAACGGUGAGAAAGGAGGUGACCACUCGAUUCUUUACAGUGUUACCAGUCCUCCAAAGCUGGGGAGACUGGUCAGAAAACAGACAGGCAACUCUACCGCAGAGAUCUCCUCCUUCACACAAAACAUGGCGAUCAACAAACCCACCAAUGGCUACCUGGGCCUUGGAGAGUACCUGAAAGAGACGGUCUCUGCCUUCUCCUAGGCGGACAUCCACGAAGGUAGGGUCCAUUUCAUCCAGGACGGGAAGCCAUCUUUAGGAGUGUUCAUCGGCCUCUCUACAAGCUCUUCAACCUGGAGGUCGCUGUGGCAACCGUAUCCAUGGUGAACAACAUGGGCGUGAAGCUAGUUCAGGGUCAGACCAUCGCUACCUUGACAGCAGAACAUGUGGCUGUAGAGACCAAUGGGAGACAGUGUGACCAUCAACUACACAGUGACCACACUGCCACACCAUGGCUGUCUCCUCAUGUCUGACCUGCCAGUCAGUGAGUUUAACCAGGAGGAUCUCCACUCAGGCAGAUUGUCCUACCACAUGACAGACCUCACUUCCUCCUCGGAUAGCUUUGAGUUCACGGUCUCAACCCCGGAAAGUAACCUAACUGCUGUGACGGCUGUCACGGUUCGACCGCUCAUCCAUCUCAGCAAAGCGCCUCCUGAUCCCCAGCUGCAUCGCCGUAAAGCUGAGGAAAGACGCUAUGGACACCACAGAGCUUGCCACACUCAGCUGCAGCGACCCCGUCUUCCACAACUUGCCACCUCCCAAACACGGCAAGCUGGUCAAGGUGACCUUUGACCUCUUGGAUGGAUCCAAUUUCUCUGUGGAGAGCUUUACCUUCCGGGACAUGGUCCAGGGCAGGGUGGCCAUGGAGGAGGCCCUGGUACAUCAAGGACACAACAACAACACUGCCAAUCAAUCAACAUCUUUACUUUACCAAUUGGGAUAUUUUGCCGACCACAACACAACAGAGGUCCAUGUGUCCAUGCUCAAUGACUCAUUCACGUACCUUCUGAGGGCAGAUCAUGUCCAGCCAUCUGUGGGAAAGUUUCUGUUUAGCAUCGUGCCAUUUGACGAGAGUUUAAACCUCACGACCAGGUCACCACACACAAUCAAACCACAGGCGACACAGGGACUAAAAUGCACUCUGCUACCCACCCUCACAACACGAACCACAAAACCCACAACAAAAAUACCCUAGAGAAGCAGUUCAAAGGAAACCAGACAGAGGUUGAACCUCAGCUUGUUCCCAAUGUGACUAUUGACACAUUCCACAUUUGUGACCCGUUUCAGGAAACUAGGUGUAUGUGUUAAGUCACGACUUCACAGGAGAGCCAUUUUAAAAUGUUUCUUCUUUUAUCAAAAUGCGUUUUUUGGCAGAAAUACCUUCUGGAACAUGUGAACUUUCAUGUGCUUUAAUAACAAACUUGUAUGACAUCUGUAAAUAUGAAUAAAAUUGUUAAAUUACGACA